UCCGCCCGGGUACUACGAGCCCUCGCUUAAAACCCAAAGGACUUGGCGGUGCUUUAGACCCCCCUAGAGGAGCCUGCUCUGGAAUCGAUAAUCCCCGCUCAACCUCACCCCCUCUUGUUCCUUCCCGCCUAUAUACCGCCGUCGUCAGUUCACCCUAUGAAGGACUAAUAGUGGGCGAAAUCGGCAUUACCCCAAAACGUCAGGUCAAGGUGUAGCUUAUGAGGGGUGAAAAAAGUGGGCUACAUUUGCUGGGUCAGCAAACACGGAUAUCGCGUUGAAACACGCAAUUGAAGGUGGAUUUAGCAGUAAGAGGAGAGUAGAGUGCCCCUCUGAAGCUGGCACUGAAGCACGUAC
rnacentral:rRNA from 1 species